rnacentral:rRNA from 1 species
UGGGGAAUCUUCGGCAAUGGGCGCAAGCCUGACCGAGCCAUGCCGCGUGAGCGAUGAAGGCCUUAGGGUUGUAAAGCUCUUUCGCCAGGGAUGAUAAUGACAGUACCUGGUAAAGAAACCCCGGCUAACUCCGUGCCAGCAGCCGCGGUAAUACGGAGGGGGUUAGCGUUGUUCGGAAUUACUGGGCGUAAAGCGCGCGUAGGCGGAUUGGAAAGUUGGGGGUGAAAUCCCGGGGCUCAACCUCGGAACUGCCUCCAAAACUCCCAGUCUUGAGUUCGAGAGAGGUGAGUGGAACUCCGAGUGUAGAGGUGAAAUUCGUAGAUAUUCGGAAGAACACCAGUGGCGAAGGCGGCUCACUGGCUCGAUACUGACGCUGAGGUGCGAAAGUGUGGGGAGCAAACAGG